CCUGCGCCUGCCUCUGCGCUGCGCUGCCGCACCCCCCUCCCCUCCGGCGGGCCUCCGCAGAGCUCCGACCGGCCGGAGUGUGUAGCUCCCUAGGCUUCCUUUCUCUCUACCUGCCCGCUCUAGCUCCGCAGUCCCCCCUCUCUCCACCCGCGACCCCGAGAACCCCCCUGCGAGUCCCUAGUAACCUUGGAACUAACUUAACAUUUUCCCCCAGGUCUGGUCUUAGCCUCUCUCUAGGCUCCGCUUCCUAAAGCCUGCAGAUCCCCAAACUUUUAUUGUAAUUAUGGAUCAAAACUCUGUCCUUGAUGCCCGUGCCCUCUCUGGAUGCUGCCACCCGUCCCCCCUCAAGUGGACCUGCAGCCACCCUGCUGCUCUGCCCUUCCCGACGCCCACUGCCCAAUCACCCCAGCCAGAGGCUUGCAGAAAGGAAACCAGGAAGUCAGCCACCGCUGCUGCAGCAGUAGCUCCACGUGGCUGAUUUAUAGCUGGAUUUUUUUUUUAAUCUUUUUUUUUCACAGGGCUCCUUAAGGAGGUGGAUUUGUAAUCGAAAGGCCCAGGUGAGAUGUGCAAACACCACAGAACUAAAAGAGGACUCACGUGGAAAGACAGUAUUACCUUUCCUCUUGAGCUUAGAAAGCUAAGUCGACUAACUAACUCACCAUACCAUCCUUGUUGAUGGAGUUGUAAGUUCCUACUCUGGGGAAAGUGGAUUUUAAAAUGUUACACACAUGCAUCGUUGCUUCUCUCACAGCUGAUUUUUCCAGGAAAGGAUAUUGGCAAAUGUUUAGCUACACGCCUCUCCCUUGUACAUUGUGCCAAAGAUGUCAAUCACUUUAAAUCACAGUCUACAGUGUGUGCCAUACUCCUAAACUACUCAAUUUGUCGAACAAAUGCUUUUCGGUAGCAAGCUUAAGGAUGGUGUAAAUUGGCCUUUUCUAAUCCUAACAUUGCCUUGUCUGCAUGCAUUUUGCUUUAAGAACGAGUGAAACUUGCUUAAGUCUACCUGAGAGUGACCAACAUUCUAUAUACUGUUGUUCAGGUGCGUUUUUCUAUUGAGAAGAUGGCAAGCUAUGACUAUGAGCACAGCUGGGCACAUAAACAGCUGAGAAGUGGCUCUCGUCACUGAAGUGAUGUGAGCCACCCAACUGCUGUCACUAUUCUAAGACGACCCUGCCACCCCAACUUGAAAUAUGAAAGGCCAAAAAGUUCGAAAUUGAUGAACAGACAUUUGGUUGUAAAAGCUGGUGUUCCUCUGAGUUCUUCACUUUGUUUAAGUGAACCUGGAGAAUGCUACCACUUCACAGCUGGGUAAUGUUUAGAGCACCUAUGAUAUAGAGGACUCUUCUGACUUAGUCACUUUUAAAAAGGUAAUUGAAACGCAUUUUGUCUUUUUCAAAACCUCAUCACCAGCUCUCUCUCUCCCUCUUAGAAUUAAUCCUGAAUUAACCUUGGUUUGUCACCGAUGACUUCUGUGAGCAUGUGUGGCUUUGUGCCUACUUAGUCACUACCACUUUUCCAGCUUAAAUUAUAGCCAUGCCAUUUUCUGUUCUGAAACAGCUCAAGUUCCUUCUCCCUUGUUGACCUUUGAGCACAUUACUCCUUUUUCUAGAACAGGCUUUGGUAGUUGUUACAUCAGCUGCACCCAUAAACUGUAACCAUUCAAAUUUCAGUUUGUGUGUCAGGUUUUUUCAGAAACUUUGUCCUCACUGGCCCUCCCCUCCCUUGCCAGGUUAGAAGUUUCUGCUUCAUGGAAGCAUGACCUGGAAGAGCUCAGCCUUAGUAUUUCUUCAACUGUCACCUCAAUAGCCAACAUUUUUAAGGGCAAGGACUGGGCUGUCAUUUAGUAUUGUGUUCCUAGGAUGUUGACAGUGCAAGACAGACUCAGCGUGAGAGAGAGAGUAGGUGGGAGAAAGUAUAUCUCAUGCACUUACUGGUAAAGCAUUAAAAUUUUUGGACACAUCUGUAAAAUUAAUAUCUUUAAAGACUAAUUAAACCUGAGUGCUUGCAUAAAACCGUUAUGUAAGUCAAUUUUUCUCUUAAAGAGUUGGGAAGGAAGGGCACAUUGUUCUGUACCUCAUCCAGCCAGCACGUGUCCUCUCACUCCUAGAUUAACUGAUGGUUCUAUCAAACUAACCGUCUGUUUGCUGGAGUGAACAUACAUUGUUCAGAAUCCUGUGGUCUUUGAUUGAGAACCUGAUACCUACAAAAUGAGAAGUAGUAGCCUGUCUUACUGAUUCCAGUCAUCAUCAUGGUUUUUAAUGAAAUGGUUGAAAUGGAAAGAAACUCUCAGUGAAAGGGCUAGAGAACCCACCCUGCCAUUUAGAGAUGGUGGUUUGACGAGACUUAAAUUUCUAAUGCCCUUUUGCAGAUUCCCAGCAAACUCGGGUCUCAGCAGAAUGGUUAAAUGGUCAGAAGUCAUCACCACGGAACUUUGUCAGUGUAUUACUGUAAACCCGGUAACAUAAACGCCUUCAUCAGUGAGCAGACAGGCGUCUUGCCUCCAUGUAUGCCUGUGCACCAAUUACAGGCUUGGUAUCCACAGAUGCUGGAAAGGGUGCUGAUUCUCCUGGAGCUGGAGUAACACAUGGCUUGUGAGCCACCAUGGCGGUGAUGGGAGUUGAACCCAGGCACCCAGGUACUCUGGAAAAGUAGCUAAUACAUCACAGAGCCAUCUCUCCAGCAUCUACUAACCCAAAUAAUUUUUUAAAAAGAAAGACAAUGGUGUAGUUCAAAAGAGAUUUUUAUAUUGCUCAAAAUUACCCGUGAAAGAGCAUUAUGUACAGUAAAUACCUAAUACAUAUGCACCGGUUUAAUCAAUAUGCUGUAGACCAGAGCAAUCAAGUACUAAAAUGAAGGCAUUAUGGAACCGUGCUUUCCCUAGUGAUUCUGUCUAAAAGGCCAUAACUGGCAAACGAAAGGCACAUUUCCAUCUUAUAACUCGCAAAGCGCACUGGAAGUGUGGCAUGGGUGCUGGUGAGGUAGCUGUGGUAGUACUUUCUGAGCGUUAUUCAUUGGAACUGUUCACAGUAUUUUCAUUCAUGGUUGAAGUUGUGAUAGGCUAUUGUUUUAAUAUUUUUACUUCAAUAACAACUUUGUAUUAACUAAAAUUUAGCUCUGUGCUAAACAGCAAUACAAUGUAUUAUUUUCUACAUACAUUAAAAUUAAUGUAUAUAGUUAUAAUUAAAGAUAUUUGUGGUUCUUAACAAUCAUCUUUUAACCUCAAGUUACCACAGCUUGGGAAUAACUAACAUAUAACAUUGUAUUUUUUUGCUUAAUGUCAAUUUGAGUUAAGCCUGUAUGGUUUAGGGAUUACAAAUGAUGCCUGGUUUGGCUUCUAGGUUUUUGUUUGCUCUCUGUUUAUUUGGAGGUAUUUGGGAUUAAACACAAAGCCUUGUGGAUGCUAGCUAGGCAAGCCUCCUAUCUCGGAGUUACACCUCCUGCCCACUGUCGUCUAGUUUUAUGACAUAUGAUCUGAUUUCAUGGAUUUGUGUCUUUAUGGAAGUUCCAAGUAUGAAUAUUCUCAUAGAAGCUAUGCAGAGUGGCCUGUUUUUUCUUAAAUAAUCAAUACUUUUCACCCACCCACUUCCAGUAGAAGUUCACUAAUAAAAUAUAGAAUAUUUCUAUUUUUCCUACUACAAAACAUGAUGAUUUCAGUAAUAUAUGAACAAGGUAUGUGUGUGUACACGUGUGAUUCUGUAGUGUAUGCAUGGAUGUGUGGAGGCCAGUGCUCCACGCUGGGGUCUUCUUUAGUCUCUCUCCACCUUAAUUGUCAAUAUGACAGGUAUUCUCAGUGAACCUCAAUCUUAUUAAUUCUAGGCUACUCUCCAGCAAGCCCCCAUACAGCAUUCAGCUUAUAUGCAUGCAUUAUUACAUCCAACUUUUAUAUAGGUGCUCCAGAUUCAAACUCAAGUCCCCAUUCUCAGAAAGCACUUUACCAACCAAGUGAACUCAACAGCUCCCUGGAACAUUUAAGAAACUGUGUGUGUGUGUGUGUGUGUGUGUGUGUGUGUGUGUGUGUGUGUGUUGUGCAUACAAGUUUAUGUGCACCAUGUGAUCAAGACCAAGGGAUGUCAGAUUCAGAAUAGGUUUGAGGCCACUUGAUAUGGGUGCUGGGAACAGGAAUCUGGUCCUCUGAAAGAGCAAGCAGUAAGCAUUCUUAACAUAUUGAGCUCUCUCCAGGACCAAGAACACUUUUUUAAGUUCAGCAUUCUUGGCUUUGUAUAUAGUCUAGAGUUGAGUUAGUGAUAUAACUACUCAUGCCUGACAUAACCCUGAUCCCACAGAAAUCAUUUAUUUUGUACUUUGGAUGAAAAUUUCUUUGUGGUUGAAGAGAAGCUUUGGAUUCUGAAGCAUUUAGAAAGAAGAGGACCUUUUAGAGUCUAGAAAAAAACCUUAGGAUACAGGCUUGUUUGAGAUGAUUUAUGGGUUGUCUGAGAGUGCGGAUGUGGUUUCUAGGUUAUUUCUGGCUUUGCGGUUACUAUGAUUAAGUCUUACUCUUACAGGCAAGUAGUAAGGAAAAGAUGGAAGCCAGAUAAGACAGGAUGAAGCCCACAAUUUAGUAACCGUGAUCCCUUACAAUUUAUUAAACCAAAUGACUUAAUGAGCUCACUGCGUAGGAUAAUUGGUAAGAUUUGUUUUGCCUGAAGCUUUAAAACAAAAAUAUGAGCAAACCCCCAUCAACUAAGGCCUUGAAUGAUCUCAUAAAACAGUAGCCAAAUGGUAAACUUACCAUUCAUUCGGGCAUAGCCUUUUGGAACGAGCCCUUUCCUGAAUACGGAUGACCUUGAACACAUUGACUAAACUAUUACUGAAAGUGAGGUGUGACUGAGUUUCUACUAUGCAUAGUCAUUCCAUCAUAUGAUUCUAUCUUAGGGUGUGUUUCAAUUAUUGAAACAAAAGUCAAGAGGAGUUGGAAAGGAUUCCCAAGUAGGAAUUCCAAUAUUUCACAUUAUACUGGUCAGAAAGUGUAAAUUGAUUCUUCCCUUCCUUGAUAUCAGAAAGAAAAAGUGUACUCCAACAAGAUAAAGGGGGAGUCAGGAAAUGGGAAAAUGAAGCACUGUGGAUCCAGGGACCUUAGGAAAUGGUCACAUAUAACCCAGAUUUACAUGUUUGAAACACCAUAAUGUGACCCCUCCUCACCACAUCAAGCUUCAUGGAUUGAGUGCCCUUCUGGAGUAUCCUACCAAAUCUGUCUUAAUGCAUGCUUUAAAUAGACGGAUUCCCGUGGGUGUUACCCUCCAAUGCCCAUGGCUUUCGAAGUGGGAUAGAAAUUAUAAAUAAGAGACAGUGAAUUUGCCUUCGAUUUUGACUGACCUCAUUAGACUUGAACCACAGAGAGCCACAAAUGUACAAUUCCGUUUUGGUGCUGAAGUAUAACACUUAGAGUUCAUAAAUAAAAUAACAGAAAUGAUUCUGUCUUGCAUAGACUGCAGGAAAACAACAGACAAUUGUGCGUCUUGGCCUCGUCCACUCAGUGAGCUGGAGAAAUCACCUAAGAGGCAGAUGAGAAGACUCGGCCUAUUGUACCUUGAGCAUUUUAGGCUGUGCAUCCAAGGGCAGGCCUCACAGCUCUGUGGAAAGCCCGUUGGCCCAGAGUUAGUACAUUCCGCCAUGUUAUGUCAUGAGCAAUCUAUGAUGGUGCGAGUGUCUCCAUUCACUAGUUGUGAUAUGAGCAAAGGGAAUGACAGUAUCUAGCCAGAAUUUUUGAAGAAGGAAACAGACUCAGAAGAGAUAACUACACCAAGCUGAUAAUAGGACUGAAACUGAUUUCUGUGGACUCCCGAUCUAAGGAUAACUUGACUGAGUUACCUCUUUCAAGGUGAGACAUGACUAAUUUGUUUAAUUACGUGUAGACUGGACAUGAGUACUGGAAAUGCAGUAAUGUAUGAAACAGAAAAAUUAUAUUUUGUAUGAAGUCUAUAAGCCCAGAGACAGGGCAGUUGCUAAUUUGCAAGAUGAAUAUUACGAUAAAAAAUAUUUAUGAUCACGAUCUAUGCGUUCUAGAGGUACUAAGUGAUACCUAAUCUCUUAGGGGGAAACCAAGGAAAACCUUGGAAAAAGUAGUGUUUAAGAAGAUACUACCAAAUUGAUAGGUACGUAUUGGCCAUGAAAGAAGAUGAGGUAAGGAAGAACAUGCAGAACAUUUGAGAAGAAAUGAGUGUGUGUGUGUGUGUGUGUGUGUGUGUGUGUGUGUGUGUGUGUGUGUGUGUGUGUGUACUGCUCAGUGUUUUAAUAAAUAGCCAAGUUGAUCUGGUGUUACAUCCAGAGUAAGGAGAGAAUUUGUUUUUUGUUUUUUUUUAAGUUACUGUUUGAAAAAGAUUCAGAACUUGUUUCAGUUUUCUGUUGACAAAUUGUCACUUCAAGCUGUGUGUGCUUAUCAUAAUUCAGACAUCGUACUGUGGAUAUAAAUUGAAAACACUCUUCCUAGCCUCUGAGAGGCUUACAAACAAGUAGUAACUAUAAAUACAUGAAAUCCAUUGUAG
rnacentral:sRNA from 1 species